GUUGUAUAGUCAAGUAAUUAAGUGCAUGUGGUGGAUGCCUUGGCAGUCAGAGGCGAUGGAAAGACGUGAUAGCCUGCGAAAAGCUCCGGGGAGGCGGCAAAUAUCCUUUGAUCCGGAGAUGUCUGAAUGGGGAACCCACCUACUUUAAGGUAGGUAUUGCAACAUGAAUACAUAGUGUUGCAAGGCGAACGAGGGGAAGUGAAACAUCUCAGUACCCUUAGGAAAAGAAAUCAAUUGAGAUUCCCUCAGUAGCGGCGAGCGAACGGGGAUCAGCCCAUUAAGUUAUGUGUGUUUUAGUGGAACGCUCUGGGAAGUGCGAACGUAGAGGGUGAUAUUCCCGUACACGAAAGGGCACACAUAAUGAUGACGAGUAGGGCGAGGCACGUGAAACCUUGUCUGAAUAUGGGGGGACCAUCCUCCAAGGCUAAAUACUCCUGACUGACCGAUAGUGAACCAGUACCGUGAGGGAAAGGCGAAAAGAACCCCUGUGAGGGGAGUGAAAUAGAUCCUGAAACCGCAUGCAUACAAGCAGUGGGAGCACCUUCGUGGUGUGACUGCGACUUUUACCUUUGUAUAAUGGGUCAGCGACUUAUAUUCAGUAGCGAGGUUAACCGUAUAGGGGAGCCGUAGAGAAAUCGAGUCUUAAUAGGGCGUUUAGUUGCUGGGUAUAGACCCGAAACCAGGCGAUCUAUCCAUGAGCAGGUUGAAGGUUGGGUAACACUAACUGGAGGACCGAACCCACUGUCGUUGAAAAGCCAGGGGAUGACUUGUGGAUAGGGGUGAAAGGCUAAUCAAGCCUGGUGAUAGCUGGUUCUCCCCGAAAGCUAUUUAGGUAGCGCCUCGGACGAAUACCAUAGGGGUAGAGCACUGUUUCGGCUAGGGGGUCAUCCCGACUUACCAAACCGAUGCAAACUCCGAAUACCUAUGAGUACUAUCCGGGAGACAGACUGCGGGUGCUAACGUCCGUAGUCAAGAGGAAAACAAUCCAGACCGCCAGCUAAGGCCCCAAAAUCAUAGUUAAGUGGGAAACGAUGUGGGAAGGCAUAGACAGCUAGGAGGUUGGCUUAGAAGCAGCCACCCUUUAAAGAAAGCGUAAUAGCUCACUAGUCGAGUCGGCCUGCGCGGAAGAUGUAACGGGGCUAAAACUAUGUGCCGAAGCUGCGGAUGUAUACUUUGUAUACGUGGUAGGGGAGCGUUCUGUAAGCCGAUGAAGGUGUGUUGAGAAGCAUGCUGGAGGUAUCAGAAGUGCGAAUGCUGACGUGAGUAACGACAAAACGGGUGAAAAACCCGUUCGCCGAAAGACCAAGGGUUCCAGUCCAACGUUAAUCGGGGCUGGGUGAGUCGACCCCUAAGGCGAGGCCGAAAGGCGUAGUCGAUGGGAAAAUGGUUAAUAUUCCAUUACUUCUGUGUAAUGCGAUGAGAGGACGGAGAAGGCUAAAUCAGCCUGGCGUUGGUUGUCCAGGUGAAAGGAUGUAGGCAUGUAUCUUAGGCAAAUCCGGGGUACUCUAUGCUGAGAUCUGAUAGCAAGCUGUACUUGUACAGCGAAGUGGUUGAUGCCAUGCUUCCAGGAAAAGUCUCUAAGCUUCAGUUACACAGGAAUCGUACCCGAAACCGACACAGGUGGUCAGGUCGAGUAGACCAAGGCGCUUGAGAGAACUCUGCUGAAGGAACUAGGCAAAAUGGUACCGUAACUUCGGGAGAAGGUACGCUGUUGUUGGUGAUGGAACUCGCUUCCUGAGCUGACGACAGCCGCAGAAACCAGGCCGCUGCAACUGUUUAUUAAAAACAUAGCACUCUGCAAACACGAAAGUGGACGUAUAGGGUGUGAUGCCUGCCCGGUGCUGGAAGGUUAAUUGAUGGGGUUAGCGUAAGCGAAGCUCUUGAUCGAAGCCCCAGUAAACGGCGGCCGUAACUAUAACGGUCCUAAGGUAGCGAAAUUCCUUGUCGGGUAAGUUCCGACCUGCACGAAUGGCAUAAUGAUGGCGGCGCUGUCUCCAGCAGAGGCUCAGUGAAAUCGAAAUCGCUGUGAAGAUGCAGUGUACCCGCGGCUAGACGGAAAGACCCCGUGAACCUUUACUGCAGCUUGACACUGAACUUUGACCUUACUUGUGUAGGAUAGGUGGGAGGCUUUGAAGCUGGAACGCUAGUUCCAGUGGAGCCGUCCUUGAAAUACCACCCUGGUAAUGUUGAGGUUCUAACUCUGUCCCGUGAUCCGGGACGAGGACCGUGUCUGGUGGGUAGUUUGACUGGGGCGGUCUCCUCCUAAAGAGUAACGGAGGAGUACGAAGGUGCGCUCAGCGUGGUCGGAAAUCACGCGUAGAGUAUAAAGGCAAAAGCGCGCUUAACUGCGAGACCCACAAGUCGAGCAGGUACGAAAGUAGGUCUUAGUGAUCCGGUGGUUCUGUAUGGAAGGGCCAUCGCUCAACGGAUAAAAGGUACUCUGGGGAUAACAGGCUGAUACCGCCCAAGAGUUCAUAUCGACGGCGGUGUUUGGCACCUCGAUGUCGGCUCAUCUCAUCCUGGGGCUGAAGCAGGUCCCAAGGGUAUGGCUGUUCGCCAUUUAAAGAGGGUACGCGAGCUGGGUUUAGAACGUCGUGAGACAGUUCGGUCCCUAUCUACCGUGGGCGCUGGAAAUUUGAGAGGAUCUGCUCCUAGUACGAGAGGACCAGAGUGGACGAACCUCUGGUGUACCGGUUGUGACGCCAGUCGCAUCGCCGGGUAGCUAUGUUCGGAAGGGAUAACCGCUGAAAGCAUCUAAGCGGGAAGCCUACCUCAAGAUAAGAUUUCCCUAGGACUUUAUGUCCUCUAAAAGAGCCGUUCGAGACUAGGACGUUGAUAGGUUGGAUGUGGAAGCAUAGUGAUAUGUGAAGCUGACCAAUACUAAUUGCUCGUGAGGCUUGACUAUACAACACCCAAGCAGUUG
rnacentral:rRNA from 1 species